CUUUACUUGGUGUAUGCUACAAGCUCCCAUCCAUACCACCAAUGUGAAUGAGAGCAUGGCGUGCCCACUUGUCCUAAUCAGCCAGAGCAACAGGGAAAAAUCCACAUUGGAAUGAACACAAACCAAAACAGCAUCAUGGCGGCACUCUGAGGAAAACAGUUCCACCCCAGCUGAAAUGAAGACUCCUCUCCUCCAUGUUCCUUAGCAUAGCUUUCAGGAGGAUCUCCUCCAUGAUCUUCCCUAGCACAGAGGUGAGGCUGACAGGUCGGCAGUUCCCUGGGUUGUCCUUUCUAUCCUUCUUAAAAAUGGGUGCGACAUUGCCUUUUUUCCAGCCAUCAGGAACUUCACCUGCCUGCCAUUACUCUUCAAAUAUCAUCAAGCCAAUUCCCUCGGGACUCUGGGAUGCAUCUCACGGGGACCCAUAGACUUACAGAUGUUCAGGUUCCUCAGGUGUCAGAGAACCUGAUCUUUGCUUACAGUGGGAGGGGCACUGCUCCCCCAGUUCUCACCUUCCGAACUGAACAAGCCUUUCUUGUUCUUCUUUGCUAAAGUCCAGUUCCAGCUGGGUCUUGACCUGUCUGAUCCCAUCCCUACACAGCCCAGAAGCAUCCCUAUACUCCUCCCAGAACACCUGUUCCUGCUUCCACUCGGUGACAUCCUGCUGUCUGACAAAGAUUCGCAGUGGUUAGUCACUGGAUAUCUCAGUGUGACAUUAGUAUAAACAAGCAAUUGGAAACAUUGCUAAAAUCAGUCUUCAGUCUGGUAUCAAGCACAGAAUAAAGGAAACUGUAUUGAAAAUCAAAAUAAAACAUCAGGAGUCCAUGUUGAGGUUUGAUCUCCUCUAGCACCUAAGAUAUGGUUUACUUUUCCAACCACUCCAAAGCCCUAGUCUGCAUCGAUGCGGAUAGGAAUGGACAGUGACCUUCAGUCAGUUAUGCCAGGGUUCCUGCAGGCUUCAGUGCAGCAGACGAGAGGUCAGUGAACUCUUUCAGUGGGCUAAGGGCAGGCUCCUGUUUGCAUUUGCCUACAAGAAUGCAGAGAGAGGAAACCUGAAAUGCGUCUCUCCAGUUCACUGGCUAGAGAUGAAAAUACAAACUGUAAAAUGCUUUUAUUCUCCACAAGCACAGAGGUUUGGGGUGUCACAGUGACUGCAGAUUGUCACUGCUGGCCCCAUGGGAAGCAGAGCUCUGCUCCUGGGGCUGCUCCGACACACCGUGAUGAAUCCCAGGGGAGACCUGGGGAUGCCCGCUAGGGUCUGGCCUGCGGGAGGAAGAUGCAGGGUUUGGAGGGGGGUGAUGGUUGGGCGUGUGGUCUGGGUGAGCACAGGGAUAAGCAGCAGAGGGGACAGCCACAACAUGGGGUUUUCUGAAGUUCUCACCUUUUUGCACAGUGGUUUGCAGCAGAAGGGCCAAGGGAAGAGUAGAUCUCACUCUUACCUCCACUCAGACCUUCCCGGCUCUAAGAAACACACUGCUCCAAACGAACGCUGCUGCAGUGCUCGGUGUUUAACUCCCCAUGCAGCACAGAACUACUGUCAUUGUCUUCAGUGGGGCUUUGCCUGAGAAAAAAACAGGGAUUGAAUUAGUUAUUUGCUUCAGAGCUCAUCUUAGGUGAGUCAUACCUAUAAGCAGCUUGGAAAUGUGGCAAUUCAGAGCAGUAUAUGGAAUGAACUAGACUGUAUCUAGACUGUAUGUGUGUUCUUCCACAAACUAACAGGCGCUGUGCUUACCACCAAUACCAACCGGUAACCAAACCCACUGGAAUAUCUCCAUCCAUGCAACUAAAGAAAAAGCCUUAAAUAGUUUAUAGCUCAGAGUUAAAACAAUUCAUUAACAAUAAGUAACUCGUAUAACUGGGAUCAGUAGGUGAUUUUUUCUGAGCUCUAUCAUUUCUAGGUAUGUACGUUACAGCCACAGGCAAACACAUUGCACUGCUCUGCUUUUUACACUGUGGUGUGCAGCCCAACCACGUAUACAACCCUCACGUUUCUGCCUCUCUCUCUCAAAUCAUAGUAUGAAUCUCAGGCCUUUAAAUUAAGUUUAUGCCAUGCUUCUGGAUGCUGCCGAGCGUCGUGUGCAAGAAUGACAUCAUUGUUUCUGGAGUUACGACCCAACAUGAAAAGAGGAAAAUCAGAAGCAGACUUUUUAAGAGGAAAAUAUCAAAAGAAAUGAGCACCAUGAAUGCAGCAUACGGUGCUUCUGGGUGCCGUAAACGUUUUCUCAUUCCUUGCUCGGGAAGAGCUGCACGACACGCCAGCAGCGCGGCCAUCCCCAGCGCAGCAGGCUGCUCGGCCGCCAGCCCGUUUCCUCCUCCGCCCCCAUGCACUGCCCCAGUGCCGAACCGCCAUCUGCACGCGUUGCCCCGCGCUCAGCGUGAAACAGCCGGGUGGGAACUGCCGGGGGCUCCUCAGCACCCGGGUGCGCUCAGCUGGUGCUGGGCGUCACGGUGACCUCCGCGAGGCCUCGCUGCGCUGCCCGAGCCAGCAGCCCGUCACAGCUGUGAGAGGGGCCUCACCUCGCUCACACCUGGCUCGGGAGAGCCUUGCGCCGCAGCCGAUGCCUCGGCGGCACCGCUGUCGGACGGGAGGAAGCAUCUGGCCGGGCUAGCGCCGCGCGGUGCCUCGGCACGAGGCCACCCAUCUAUCGCCGCUCUCGAACUGAG
ensembl:lncRNA